rnacentral:ncRNA from 1 species
AGAAAAUAUAUUCAUUUAGUAUGUAAAAGUUGGCAACUAUUUUUUAGCUCAUGAGAAUCGGUGAUCUGCCUCUGCAAAGACUGGGCCUACACGACGACAACUUGCGUCUGCUCAUGCUAUAAGGUGUUGGGUUAAGUCUCACAACAUGCGCAACCCUUGUGUUUAGUUGCCACUAUGAGGUUUGAACCCUGAACAGACCAUUGAUGUUAGGUUGGAGGAAGGAGGGGAUGAAGCCAAGUCAUCAUGACCCUUAUGCCCUUGGCGACACAUAUGCUAGGAUGGGUGGGACAAAGGGUCACGAUCUCGUGUGGGUGAGAUGAAUCCAAAAACCUAUCCUUAGUUCGGAUAUCAGGCUGCAACUUGCCUCCAUGAAG